AUUUUAGGGAUGAUCAGUCUAAUAUGGUGCAGCAGAAGGUAAUAUAUAAAGGGCAGAGAUUGGGGACUUCAGCUGAUCAAGUGAACUGACACUGAUAGUGAAGGUAUACGUUCUGCAGAGUUUCCUUUCCAGCUUUAAUAACUUAGGUCUUGGCUGUGAUGGCAAUCUCCUCUUACUGGCAAUUGAAAGCAAAUGCUUUACAUCUCAGAGCUGUUUAAGAAUGGCAUUCCCACUAUGGCUCAGUGGUUAGCAAACCGGACAAGGAUCCACAAGGAUGCUGGUUCGAUCCCUGGCCUCACCUAGGGAGUUAAGGAUCCGGCAUUGCCGUGAGCUGUGGUGUACAGACGUAGGGCUCAGAUCCCGCGUUGCCGUGGCUGUGACAUAGGCUGGCAGCUGAAGUUUUGAUGCAACCCCCUAUAUGCCAUGGAUGCAGCCCUAAAAAGCAAAAAAAAAAAAAAAAAAAAAGCAUUUAAAUAAAACAAUUUCUACAAAGGGCAAGAUCCAGGGUAUGACCUUGAAAGGGGAUAAACAGGAGGAAAAAAGAGGGAGGGCAGUUAAUGGUGAAAUGUCAAGGUCGAAUAGGCAAGGAGUCAGAUGAGUCAGAUGGGUCAUCCACAUGGAUACUGAAGUCCCUAAGGAAGGGCAAGGGUUGAGGUGGAGGGGAAGGUUAUGGGCCCCCAUUUGUACCCAGGAGGGACUGGAAAGUCAGUCCCAGGAAUCCCAACAUCACUGUAGGGUCGAGCCAGAGGGGCACGGCUGUAUGGCUUGAUCUUGAAAGGAGCAGGGAUCUUGGCAGGAAGGGAGACAGAGACAUCAAGAGGCAGAAACAGUGGAUAAGGAGGCCACGGACUCCACUUCUCCCGCUGAGGGCCCCGAAGGUAGUCGCACAGCACAGCGCUAUGUGGCAAGCCAGCCGCCCCAAAGUCCAGACACCAGGACAACUUUCAAAGGGAACUGGGGAUGCAGCAGAAUCCACUCAUCCCAGACCAAGAGCUCCCCAGAGUGUGAGGGAGAGGAGCCUGGGAGCAGUGGAGGUGGAGGAUGACUGAGGAGGCCAAGGUGCUCGAGGUAAACAGAGUUCGAGGCCCGCUAGGGGUCUGGAAGGAAGAUGAGCAAAUCAGACACGUGACCCUGAAUGCUCUCCUCUGAGGAAUUGUGCUUUGGGGAGAGCUUCUGUGCAAGGUCACACAGGGGCACACAUGGUGCAGUGGGGGUGAUGGGGUGCGGGUCACCGCCCUAGGCCUCGCUCCAAGGAGCAAGGCAGAGCUGUUCCUCCCACUGAGAAGAGCCACCCCUCCCUCCAGGCAAGGAGACCCCAACCUUGAGGCUCCUCAGAGUCAGCUCCAGUUAGGGGAGCAAACCCAGGAGAACGACUAGGCGCUUCCAUUCAGCUGUAGCUGGUUUGCUCUGAAAACAUCCAAAAGCCAACAUGUCAUGCUUCAGCAAGGAUUGAUUUCAUUCCUAAGAUGCUCCUUUUUUAUAUCUAUACCAGAGAUUCAUGCUCCAUCAAAGAUGAUGUUGGCCAUAUUUCUUAUAAGAAUUUUUGGCCAUAUUUCUUAUAAGAAUAAGCCUGGCAUCAUUUUGCGAAGCAAAUAUCCAUGCCCUUUGGCUGCCCUGUUAGAUCAUAAAGUGUCUUUUUUUUUUCCCCUAAUUUCUCUUUCUGCUCUUUCAUUGUUAGUGUAUAGAAAUGCCGUCGAUUUCUAUGUAUUAAUUUUGUAUCCUGGAGUUCCCGUCGUGGCGCAGUGGUUAACGAAUCCGACUAGGAACCAUGAGGUUGCGGGUUCGGUCCCUGCCCUUGCUCAGUGGGUUAACGAUCCGGCGUUGCCGUGAGCUGUGGUGUAGGUUGCAGACGCGGCUCAGAUCCCGCGUUGCUGUGGCUCUGGCAUAGGCCGGUGGCUACAGCUUCGAUUCAACCCCUAGCCUGGGAACCUCCAUAUGCCGCGGGAGCAGCCCAAGAAAUAGCAACAACAACAACAACAACAACAACAACAAAAGACAAAAAAGACAAAAAAAAAAAAAA
rnacentral:lncRNA from 1 species